rnacentral:ncRNA from 1 species
AUGUCGGCUAUAGCUUUUAUUUUUUUACUUAAAGCUAUCUCUAUGUAAAUAUCUUCUAAAUUACAACCAAGCAUUGGAUUGUUCACUCACUAAUAGGGAACGUGAACUAGGUUCAGACCGUCAUGAAACAGGUU